GACGAACGCUGGCGGCGCGCUUAACACAUGCAAGUCGAGCGAAGCGGCGGACGGGUGAGUAACACGUGAGUAACCUGCCUUAGACAUUGGGAUAGCCUCGGGAAACCGGGAUUAAUACCAAAUGGUCUAAGAUGGACUCGCGUCCCAUUAGCUAGUUGGUGGGUAACGGCCCACCAAGGCGACGAUGGGUAGCCGGCCUGGGAGGGGGAACGGCAGCAGUGGAACUGAGCAACGUUCCAAACUCGACGGGAGGCAGCAGUGGAGAAUAUUGCACAAUGGAGGGAACUCUGAUGCAGCGACGCCGCGUGAACGAAGAAGGCUUUCGAGUCGUAAAGUGCUUUUAUAUGGGAAGCGGUACCAUAAGAAAAAGCCCCGGCUAACUACGUGCCAGCAGCCGCGGUAAUUC
rnacentral:rRNA from 1 species